rnacentral:rRNA from 1 species
GAUGAACGCUGGCGGCGUGCCUAACACAUGCAAGUCGAACGGAGUCCAGCCUUUAAGACCUUCGGGUCAAAGAGGGGAAGACUGAGUGGCGGACGGGUGAGUAACACGUGGGCAACCUGGCUCAUAGAGGGGGAUAACAGAGAGAAAUUUCUGCUAAUACCGCAUAAGCACACCCUGCCGCAUGGCAGAGGGUGAAAAGAGAAUCGCUAUGAGAUGGACCCGCGUCUGAUUAGCCAGUUGGCAGGGUAAGAGCCUACCAAAGCGACGACCAGUAGCCGAUCUGAGAGGAUGAACGGCCACAUUGGGACUGAGACACGGCCCAAACUCCUACGGGAGGCAGCAGUGGGGGAUAUUGCACAAUGGGGGGAACCCUGAUGCAGCGACGCCGCGUGAGUGAAGAAGUAUUUCGGUAUGUAAAGCUCUAUCAGCAGGGAAGAUAAUGACAGUACCUGAAUAAGAAGCCCCGGCUAACUACGUG